rnacentral:tRNA from 1 species
GUCGAGAUGGCUCAGAGGGUAAGAGCAUGGACUGCUCUUCCAAAGGUUCUGAGUUCAAAUACCAGUGACCACA